UCGAAAUAGAAGCCCUGCGGGAAGAGAUGGCGCGCACACGGGUUACAGGGCAGAAAGGCCGGCCAGGCGCCCCGACUCCGCCCCCCGACUACCCAACGGGACAAAGAAAGCCAGCGCGUGCGCAGAGGGCCGGAGCCUUCUAGCUUGUGGGUCCACCAUCUGCAACACGUGGUUUCCAUCUCGCGGGGGAAGAGGACACGCCAAUGCCCGACACAGCUCUACUCCAGUCCCAAGAAGGGAGAGGUUGAAAGGGAGGCCAUCCUCUUUGCCUAAAAAAGGCCAUAACGCAGAUGCUGCACACAUCCCAUUGGCCAGAACCCAUUCACGUGUGAGAAUUAUUCGUGCAAACCCAACGUAUCCAUCUCAAUCUUCUAGAACCUGGCAGAAUUGAACUUCCUGGACUCUCUGUGACUCACCAAGGUCAUGUGACUAGUUGUUGCCAAUGAAUUUCACGAGGUUAUAUAAGCCCAAGUCCUUAUGCUGGAUCGACUCUGUGAGCCUGGAUAAGUCACUGUCCCUGUCUGCAACUCAAGUGUCCUCAUCAGCAAAAUGAGGGCUCAGGUCAGCCCCUACGUGCACGAAACUUCCUUGACUAUCCCCUACACUGGGCUGGUGCCCCCGUGCUGUGUCAACCGCCUGGUGCUGUAUCCACGAAAGUCCGUGCAACUGGGCAUUGGGAGAGCCCACUUCUGUGACCGUAGCAGAUCUGCAGCUCGUGGAAAUCUGAGCCUGUAUCUCACACCUAAUGAACCCCGGCUCCUAGGGUUGGAUCUGAAAUGUAUUAGGCGCUAAUAAAAAUGAGGAAGCAAUAAAUUCAGAAUCUUAGCACUGUCCAGGCACAGUGAGAACCAGAAGCCCUGAGUAACCCUAUCAAAUCUUGACCGUCUAUUUCUGAGGCAUAGGGAACUUCGCAGACUAGGAGCAAUACUGGGGACAGGGCAGCUAGAUAGAACCUGGGGAGGUAACAGGCAGCCGUUGCUACUACUGGCAGAACCGACAGCGAGGUAGCAUUCAAGAACCAAGAGACUCCUUAACAUGAAAACAGCUUCUAGAGGUCAUUUGGCGGCCAUCUUAACUGCUGGCGCUAUCCAUUGCCAUUUGGCAGCCAUCUUAAUUACUGGCAUUCUGCAAGCUGUCAAAUGGCCCCUGUAAGUAGCCGUGUCUGAUAAGGGCGAAAACAAAGGCAGUUUGACCUUGAGAGUUGGUAGGUGUGCCCUCGGCCUUCUGCCCACUAUCCUUGGAAAUCCACCGAAAGUAAGCCCAUUGCUCUUCUGUGCCAUUUUCACGGCUGGCAUCUCUCUUUGAAAAGCUGAGCAAAGAUCUUUCAGGCCGCCAUGUUUGCUAACGGCCAAAAGCAAUGGCUCUCACUCCUCAUAGAUGUUGCUAGUAGGUUUCAUGGCAUCGCUCAGCCACGUCCGGGAAAACACACCAACCCCAGUGCACUUUGUGGACAACUUAAUUCUUGACAAACCCUGCCUUUGUCUUCUUCCAAAAACGUCCACUGGCAAGCAUGUUUAGUAAUGGCGACAGGCGCUACAUCGGAGGUUGGAAGGUGGCACCCUCACCUCCAU